GACGUAGGGUCCAAGCGUUGUCCGGAUUUACUGGGCGUAAAGAGCGCGUAGGCGGCUCGUUAAGUGUGAAGUGAAAUCUCCAGGGCUCAACCCGGAAACUGCUUCGCAUACUGGCGAGCUGGAGUGACGAAGAGGUUUGUGGAAUUCCUGGUGUAGCGGUGAAAUGCUUAGAUACCAUCCAGAACACCAAUUGCGAAGGCAGCAGACUAGGGUGCAACUGACGCUGAGGCACGAAAGUGCGGGGAUCAAACAGG
rnacentral:rRNA from 1 species